GAGAAAUAGGUGUCCUGUUUCAUACACCCACAUGCAGAGAGCACAGCCAAUCAGGUGGAGCCAUUGGGUAUUGAGAAGAGAAGCAGGAGUAGAAGAAAGCCCUGGAAACAUUUCUUCCCUCCAGAAAUACAGAAAAUACCCAUUCUCUCCUCAACUCUACCCUCUUCCUGUGGCUUGGGUUGAACAUAACCUAAAUGAAACAUCUGUAGACAAGCUAUAUCCAUGAUUGCCCCAGGCCGAGAGCCAGAACUGGCAGAGCACACACAGACACGCGCCCAGCAUGUUGGGGAGGACGGCUCUGGCCCUCGACCAGUAGACAACUCUGCCAUCUAGUGGCUGCACCGGGCGGAAGAUGUUCAUCAUGGGCUUGCCGUUCCAAAAGCGACACUGCUGAGAUAUCGCCACCAGCUGGAAGAGGAGGAGGAGAAGAGGAAGACAUGCAGAAAGGAAUGAGCAAACAAUUGUCUGAAUAUCAUCGUGAAUUUGACAAAUGGUCAUCCCAUCAGGACUUCACUCAUCGGCCCCUAGGGGCGCCUAAGGGCCACCUGUUUGCUGCUGACGGGCAGGGUCUUGUGAAACACCGUCCAAGCUACUGCCUGCUCACAACCGGGCGUCGUCAUGGAGCCCACAUAGCGAUAGUAACUAUGGAGGUCCUUUGCAGGUGGGAUGAUGUCGGUCAGUCUGAAGUCUCGGAUCUCUGCUGAGCUGCCUGAAGGAGUAAGAAAAUGUCAGAUGCCUCUUAGUGCAGAGAACAAUGUAUUGGCAAUUUCAUGGGGAACAUCCAUCACUGUUAUUGGUCCCCAUGCACCACCAACUGUGCUCUGGGACCCAGAUGUAUGAUGAUACCGUUUUCAUGGAUGUGUCCCAUCGCAGCAAUCAGAGUGUUGAGGUGAGGAUGGUCGUCUAUUGACUCCUGUCAAUAGCCAAAGGGGCAUUUUAUUAAUCACAACAGCGUAUAUGCCGCCCAAAUAUGACACCAGGCAUAUUCUAAGCGGCCAGUCAUGUCUUAUUUCAGUAUCCAGGGAUGACGCCUGUACGAUCUGGAUUAGACGGGUACCAUCUGUAUUUUAUGUACCAGGGUGUAUGUGCCCAUUUUCAUUAAAAGUGCAGACCCAUAAAAGUGUAAUGAGAAUGAAUGAAU